rnacentral:rRNA from 1 species
ACUCUAAGCGGUGGAUCACUCGGCUCAUGGGUCGAUGAAGAACGCAGCAAACUGUGCGUCAUCGUGUGAACUGCAGGACACAUGAACAUCGACAUUUUGAACGCAUAUCGCAGUCCAUGCUGUUAUGUACUUUAAUUAAUUUUAUAGUGCUGCUUGGACUACAUAUGGUUGAGGGUUGUAAGACUAUGCUAAUUAAGUUGCUUAUAAAUUUUUAUAAGCAUAUGGUAUAUUAUUGGAUAAAUAUAAUAAUUUUUAUUCAUAAUAUUAAAAAAUAAAUGAAAAACAUUAUCUCACAUUUGAAUGUGAAAAACGAAGAGAAAUAUUUUCUUUUUCAAUCAAAUAAUACUGAGAAAUGUCUAGCAUAAAAAAUUGAAAUAUUUUUCAUCUAGAAUUGUCUCUUAUUAAUGAUUCGGAAAUAGAAAAAUCUUGGUUAUGUUAUUAUUCUUCGUUGGUUCGUUAAAAAUGGAUAAAUAAAAACUUUGCAUACAAGAAUUAAUAAAAAUGUUAUAACGAAUUUAAUUAAAUGUUUUAUCAUUAUAUAUAAAGAAUUUAUGGCAAGAUAAAGUUAUAUACAACCUCAACUCAUAUGGGACUACCCCCUGAAUUUAAGCAUAUUAAUUAGGGGAGGAAAAGAAACUAACAAGGAUUUUCUUAGUAGCGGCGAGCGAAAAGAAAACAGUUCAGCACUAAGUCACUUUGUCUAUAUGGCAAAUGUGAGAUGCAGUGUAUGGAGCGUCAAUAUUCUAGUAUGAGAAAUUAACGAUUUAAGUCCUUCUUAAAUGAGGCCAUUUACCCAUAGAGGGUGCCAGGCCCGUAUAACGUUAAUGAUUACUAGAUGAUGUUUCCAAAGAGUCGUGUUGCUUGAUAGUGCAGCACUAAGUGGGUGGUAAACUCCAUCUAAAACUAAAUAUAACCAUGAGACCGAUAGUAAACAAGUACCGUGAGGGAAAGUUGAAAAGAACUCUGAAUAGAGAGUUAAACAGUACGUGAAACUGCUUAGAGGUUAAGCCCGAUGAACCUGAAUAUCCGUUAUGGAAAAUUCAUCAUUAAAAUUGUAAUAUUUAAAUAAUAUUAUGAGAAUAGUGUGCAUUUUUUCCAUAUAAGGACAUUGUAAUCUAUUAGCAUAUACCAAAUUUAUCAUAAAAUAUAACUUAUAGUUUAUUCCAAUUAAAUUGCUUGCAUUUUAACACAGAAUAAAUGUUAUUAAUUUGAUAAAGUGCUGAUAGAUUUAUAUGAUUACAGUGCGUUAAUUUUUCGGAAUUAUAUAAUGGCAUAAUUAUCAUUGAUUUUUGUGUUUAUUAUAUGCACUUGUAUGAUUAACAAUGCGAAAGAUUCAGGAUACCUUCGGGACCCGUCUUGAAACACGGACCAAGGAGUCUAACAUAUGUGCAAGUUAUUGGGAUAUAAACCUAAUAGCGUAAUUAACUUGACUAAUAAUGGGAUUAGUUUUUUAGCUAUUUAUAGCUAAUUAACACAAUCCCGGGGCGUUCUAUAUAGUUAUGUAUAAUGUAUAUUUAUAUUAUUUAUGCCUCUAACUGGAACGUACCUUGAGCAUAUAUGCUGUGACCCGAAAGAUGGUGAACUAUACUUGAUCAGGUUGAAGUCAGGGGAAACCCUGAUGGAAGACCGAAACAGUUCUGACGUGCAAAUCGAUUGUCAGAAUUGAGUAUAGGGGCGAAAGACCAAUCGAACCAUCUAGUAGCUGGUUCCUUCCGAAGUUUCCCUCAGGAUAGCUGGUGCAUUUUAAUAUUAUAUAAAAUAAUCUUAUCUGGUAAAGCGAAUGAUUAGAGGCCUUAGGGUCGAAACGAUCUUAACCUAUUCUCAAACUUUAAAUGGGUAAGAACCUUAACUUUCUUGAUAUGAAGUUCAAGGUUAUGAUAUAAUGUGCCCAGUGGGCCACUUUUGGUAAGCAGAACUGGCGCUGUGGGAUGAACCAAACGUAAUGUUACGGUGCCCAAAUUAACAACUCAUGCAGAUACCAUGAAAGGCGUUGGUUGCUUAAAACAGCAGGACGGUGAUCAUGGAAGUCGAAAUCCGCUAAGGAGUGUGUAACAACUCACCUGCCGAAGCAACUAGCCCUUAAAAUGGAUGGCGCUUAAGUUGUAUACCUAUACAUUACCGCUAAAGUAGAUGAUUUAUAUUACUUGUGAUAUAAAUUUUGAAACUUUAGUGAGUAGGAAGGUACAAUGGUAUGCGUAGAAGUGUUUGGCGUAAGCCUGCAUGGAGCUGCCAUUGGUACAGAUCUUGGUGGUAGUAGCAAAUAAUCGAAUGAGACCUUGGAGGACUGAAGUGGAGAAGGGUUUCGUGUGAACAGUGGUUGAUCACGAGUUAGUCGGUCCUAAGUUCAAGGCGAAAGCCGAAAAUUUUCAAGUAAAACAAAAAUGCCUAACUAUAUAAACAAAGCGAAUUAUAAUACACUUGAAUAAUUUUGAACGAAAGGGAAUACGGUUCCAAUUCCGUAACCUGUUGAGUAUCCGUUUGUUAUUAAAUAUGGGCCUCGUGCUCAUCCUGGCAACAGGAACGACCAUAAAGAAGCCGUCGAGAGAUAUCGGAAGAGUUUUCUUUUCUGUUUUAUAGCCGUACUACCAUGGAAGUCUUUCGCAGAGAGAUAUGGUAGAUGGGCUAGAAGAGCAUGACAUAUACUGUUGUGUCGAUAUUUUCUCCUCGGACCUUGAAAAUUUAUGGUGGGGACACGCAAACUUCUCAACAGGCCGUACCAAUAUCCGCAGCUGGUCUCCAAGGUGAAGAGUCUCUAGUCGAUAGAAUAAUGUAGGUAAGGGAAGUCGGCAAAUUAGAUCCGUAACUUCGGGAUAAGGAUUGGCUCUGAAGAUUGAGAUAGUCGGGCUUGAUUGGGAAACAAUAACAUGGUUUAUGUGCUCGUUCUGGGUAAAUAGAGUUUCUAGCAUUUAUGUUAGUUACUUGUUCCCCGGAUAGUUUAGUUACGUAGCCAAUUGUGGAACUUUCUUGCUAAAAUUUUUAAGAAUACUAUUUGGGUUAAACCAAUUAGUUCUUAUUAAUUAUAACGAUUAUCAAUUAACAAUCAAUUCAGAACUGGCACGGACUUGGGGAAUCCGACUGUCUAAUUAAAACAAAGCAUUGUGAUGGCCCUAGCGGGUGUUGACACAAUGUGAUUUCUGCCCAGUGCUCUGAAUGUCAAAGUGAAGAAAUUCAAGUAAGCGCGGGUCAACGGCGGGAGUAACUAUGACUCUCUUAAGGUAGCCAAAUGCCUCGUCAUCUAAUUAGUGACGCGCAUGAAUGGAUUAACGACGGACGUGUUUUCGUUGCG